rnacentral:rRNA from 1 species
UGAGGAAUAUUGGUCAAUGGGCGGAAGCCUGAACCAGCCAUGCCGCGUGAAGGAAUAAGGCCCUAUGGGUCGUAAACUUCUUUUGAGCGGGAGCAAUAAGGACUACGUGUAGUCCGAUGAGAGUACCGUUCUAAUAAGCAUCGGCUAACUCCGUGCCAGCAGCCGCGGUAAUACGGAGGAUGCAAGCGUUAUCCGGAUUUAUUGGGUUUAAAGGGUGCGUAGGCGGCGUAUCAAGUCAGAGGUGAAAGCCCGUAGCUCAACUAUGGAACUGCCUUUGAUACUGUUAUGCUGGAAUACUGUUGCCGUGGGAGGAAUGAGUAGUGUAGCGGUGAAAUGCUAGAUAUUACUCAGAACACCGAUUGCGAAGGCAUCUCACGAAGCAGGCAUUGACGCUGAGGCACGAAAGCGUGGGGAUCAAACAGGAUUAGAUACCCUGGUA